rnacentral:rRNA from 1 species
GGUGAACGCUGGCGGCGUGCCUAAGACAUGCAAGUCGAGCGGGGCAGGUUUAUACCUGUUCAGCGGCGGACGGGUGAGUAACGCGUGGGUGACCUACCCGGAAGAGGCGGACAACCUGGGGAAACCCAGGCUAAUCCGCCAUGUGGUCCUGUCCUGUGGGGCAGGACUAAAGGGUGGAUAGCCCGCUUCCGGAUGGGCCCGCGUCCCAUCAGCUAGUUGGUGGGGUAAAGGCCCACCAAGGCGACGACGGGUAGCCGGUCUGAGAGGAUGGCCGGCCACAGGGGCACUGAGACACGGGCCCCACGCCUACGGGAGGCAGCAGUUAGGGAUCGGCCGGAAUGGGCGCAAGCCUGACGGAGCGACGCCGCGUGGAGGAGGAAGGCCUGCGGGGUGUAAACUCGUGAACUGGGGACGAAAGCCCCGUGUAGGGGGAGGACGGGACCCAGGUAAGAGCGCCGGCCAACUCCGUG